AAAGAUUUAUGUUAAACAGACACCUAGCCUUCAAAGCUAUAAGCAAAAGUUCAAAUCUUUUAAUCUUUG
rnacentral:tRNA from 1 species